rnacentral:rRNA from 1 species
UACGAAGGGGGCUAGCGUUGUUCGGAAUUACUGGGCGUAAAGCGCACGUAGGCGGAUAUUUAAGUCAGGGGUGAAAUCCCAGAGCUCAACUCUGGAACUGCCUUUGAUACUGGGUAUCUUGAGUAUGGAAGAGGUGAGUGGAAUUCCGAGUGUAGAGGUGAAAUUCGUAGAUAUUCGGAGGAACACCAGUGGCGAAGGCGGCUCACUGGUCCAUUACUGACGCUGAGGUGCGAAAGCGGGGGGAGCAAACAGG